GGCCCCGUCGUCUAGCGGUUCAGGACACCUGGUUCUCAUCCAGGAGAUCAUCGGUUCAAAUCCGAUCGGGGUCACCA
rnacentral:tRNA from 1 species